rnacentral:rRNA from 1 species
UACGUAGGGACCAAGCGUUGUCCGGAAUCAUUGGGCGUAAAGAGCGUGUAGGCGGCUUGGCAAGUCUGGUGUGAAAUCUUGCGGCUCAACCGCAAGCGGUCACUGGAAACUGCCUCGCUAGAGUCCGGAAGAGGAGAGCGGAAUUCCUGGUGUAGCGGUGGAAUGCGCAGAUAUCGGGAGGAACACCUAUGGCGAAGGCAGCUCGCUGGGACGUUACUGACGCUGAGACGCGAAAGCUAGGGUAGCAAACGGG